AUGACGGUUAAGCACCCCAAUAUAGUGCAAUGUGUAGGCUACUGCUAUGAAACUCUGAAUGAGGUUGCAUCAUACAAUGGGAAAAAGGUAUUUGCAGAGAAGGCGGAAAUGCUACUUUGCUUAGAGUAUCUCCCCACCGGAAGCCUCAAUGAGUAUCUAUCUGAUGAAUCUUCUGGACUUAAUUGGAGCACACGCUACAGAAUAAUCGAAGGGAUUUGCUAUGGUUUAUGUCACCUUCACGGGCAAAAAGAUAACCCCAUUAUUCACUUGGACCUUAAACCUACAAACAUAUUGCUCAGCGACGGUAUGAUAGCAAAAAUUGCAGACUUCGGUUUGUCAAUGUUGCUUGUACAACCAGGCACUAUUAUAGCGUCGUCUUCUCUUGGAACACCUGGUUACAUUGCACCAGAGUUUGUGAAUGGACGUAAAAUUUCGCUCAAGUCGGACAUAUUUAGCUUGGGCGUAAUAAUCAUCGAGAUAAUAACGGGAGGCAAGGACUACCCCCUUGAUGUUACUAAACCAUCAUCUUCAAACACAUUUGUUGACGAUGUUCUUUGCAAAUGGAAAAACAGAAGAUCACGGAGAUAUGGAACCCUAGAUGUAAAUUGCCAAGAAGAAAUAAAAAGAUGCAUUCAGAUAGGUCUAAUAUGUCUGAACCCUGAUCGCAAUCAAAGGCCUGCAAUAAGGAACAUCAUCAGGAUGCUUCAAGGAACAGAAAGUAUUGAUUGCGGCAUUAGCAACCAUGCAACAUCAUCGACAGGCUAG
rnacentral:rRNA from 1 species